AUCUGCUGACCGCACGUUUGGCAGGGACGUUCCACCUGGCUCUCAUGCCCAGCCCACCAUGGACCGAGGCGGCAAACCUGCCUGGCAGCUGGCCGUGAGCAGGGCUGGGAGGGUCCUGGAGAGAGGCAACUGCUGGGAGGUGGCCUGAGCCUCCUCCCACGACACCCGGCAGGACCCACGCUCCCCCCAAGGGCCGGGAGAGCACUGGCCGAGUGCUGAGCGGCCAGCUGGGCGCCUUGAGGAGCCUGCAGUGAGGCCUUUCCAGCAGGCCCUCAGCGCCGCAGUGAACAAGCCGGGCCCGGGUGUCGCCAGAGCAGUGACAACCGAACAACGGCUUCCGUGCAGCUCCCAAGCGGCUGUGCACGCCAUCACUGAGGAGGGGAAGCAGCUCCUCCUCAGGAAAACGCAUUUCACCAGGAACCACAUUUUGUUUCUACCUUUGACGGUUCCUAUAAAAGGACCGCCACUUAGGCUGGACUCCAGAGGUCCCAGGGGUCCUUUCCAGGUCCUGCAGGCCCCACCCACACUCAGUGUCUCUCUGGGGUGGCAUCCCAGUGACCCUGGGGUUAGCUGGGCCUCCCCUCUGUGUGCUCCCUGUGCAGCCUGUUGUCAGCUAGAGGUGGGUUCCAACUGUGAAGGUCAUGGCUGCAGAACCCAGGUUCUGAAGCCUCGCAGGCUACCUCAGCCUCCCUGAGUGUGUGUCAGGAUUUGGAGAUUCCUGUCCUGCUCUACUGAACGGGGUGCUGUGCUGGGGGUAGUUCCCAUAAGGCCCCAGGCAUUUCCCACCCACCCUGGAGUCGGAGGGCUGCUACUCAGAAUGUGAUCAGCGGAGCAGCAGCAUCAACACCUAGAGAUGCCUCUCGGCCUCUCGGGGAGCCCACCCCAGACCCACUGAAUCUUGCUUGAGCCAGAUCUCGGGUGACGGUCUGCACACUCAAGUUUGAAAACCAAGGCUAGGACCUGGGAAUCCAAGGUGAGCCAGUAACAGAAUGUCCCCUUUAUCAGGGUCAGUGACUCCAUGCCUGGUCUGCUGGGCAGCAGAACCCAGAGCCAUGCAGCAGGACCCUCCAGCCAACUUCCAAUCCCCCCUCUGUACCUGGCCCACAGUCACUGCCCGCAGGGGUCCUGGGGUGGUGAAGGGCACACACCCCUGUACCAGACUGGUGUCUGGGGCCAAACCUCAGCCCUGCCACUUCCCAGCAGGGCAGCCAACAGGAAGCCACCCAACCCUCCAACUCCUAGCUUCUGUGUCUGUAAAGUGGAGGAUUCUGAAGGCUGCCCCGGGGUCCUGGAAACGCUCCCUGUAGCUCACGACCCCAUCCAUCUCAACACCCGGGAAGUUGCAGCUGGAAGUGGCCUUAGAUCACCUGAUCCAAACCCCUUUCCUGCUCUCCCCGUUCACGCCUGGAGACCCCAGCCAGCCAGGCAACCCCGGAAGGCAGGGCCCCGAGGAGAACCCAGAGCUCUCAGGGCUGAGUCUGCGUGCCUCGCACCAUAGUCGGGGGUAGGGGGUCACGCGUAGGUGUGGCCCAGGAACUCAGUCCCAGAGAGAGAUUUGCAUGCCGCCAGGGUAAGGGGCGUGCUCUCAGAAAUAACACGGUCGUGGGGUGAGGGGGCAAGACUGGGAAAAGUGAGAGGUUGACCCUGACAGGAAGCGGGGCCCAAGAUGUCCCACAGCGAGGCAAAGCAGCCGGCCUUCUAGCUCCACCUUCUAACUCACUGAAGUGGCUCUGCCAGGCCCCCGUCAUGGGAGAGUCACCCUGAGAAAGGGACUCAGAUGUGAGUCACCAGCAGCUGGGACAGCGCCCCGGCCCCACCCGGAGAUCUGAGCAGACACAGCACCUGGCACCAGGCCUUUUGCCCCAGCCAGGUCACCCGCUUCGCAGCUCCUGACCGACCACCCAAGCUCUCUUCGCUCCUCGGGAGCCGUAGAGAUCUCUGAUCUGCGUCUUCCUCUACAGACUGGAAGCUAAGUCUAUGGCCCGAAGUUCCACCUGUUGAGAAUUCCCCUGUCAUGGCUCUCUUCAAGGGCCACCCCCAGUGGAGAUUUAGGUCACACAGUUCGUUUGCAUCUGUGUAGACCAGCUGCUGUGGCCUGGAUGUGUCCCCAGGGGAGGGGUUGGGAGGUGGUGGGAUCUUCAGGCAGUGAAGCCUAGUGGAAGGGAAUCAGGUCAUGGGGUACUGUCCUGCGAAGGGAUUAGUGUUGUUCAGAAGGGACCCCAGUUAGCUCCCAUGAGAUUGGCUGUUAGAGAAAACUACCCUCCUUGCUCUCUGGUGUCUGGCCUUACCACGUGAUCUCUCUGUCUCACACAUACUCCUGCCCUGAAGUUAUCCACCCUGAGGUCAUACAACCAGAGAGCCCUUGCCAGAGGCAGCACCAUGUUGUCUGAAAUGUCAGCCGACCAAACUGUGAGCUCAAUAAACUUCUUUUCUUUA